UUAGGUAACGAGCGAGACCCCUGCGUCUAGUUGCUACCAUUACUCUCUGGAGCAGUGGAGCGAAUUAGACGGACCGCCACAGUUAAUGUGGAGGAAGGAAGGGGCCACGGCAGGUCAGUAUGCCCCGAAACCCUAGGGCUACACGCGGGCUGCAAUGAUAUUGGCAAUGUGUUCCGAAUCCGAAAGGAGGAGGCAAUCAUCAAACAAUAUCUCAGUUAUGACUGAGGGCUGUAACUCGCCCUCACGAAUAUGGAAUCCCUAGUAACCGCGCGUCACUACCGCGCGGUGAAUACGUCCCUGCUCCUUGCACGAAUUCGCCG
rnacentral:rRNA from 1 species